GGGGGGUUGUUGAGUGGGAAGGAGUUUCCAGCAGGCAACCCGGGAAUUGGAAAACAAUCCCUGCGGAGAAAAUGAUGGGAAUUGGUUGCCAGGAAGGUUUGCUGGCAUUGGGAUUGAAUCCGUGUGAAGAACAAGGCAAAAAAAAAAUGGAGAUUGGGAAUGUAGAGCGAACAGAGAAAAAUGUGGGAAUGCUGCUGUUGGACACGCUUGUACCGGGAUCACGGGUUGUUCCAGAGAGAAUUCCUAGAAAUCUGAGACAGAAAGUAGAGCCAAUGAGGACAGAUUCCAGGAGUGUCAUAUUCAGGACACUGUUUCUACACACGGAAAUGUUGGGAGACUGGGAUCGGCAGAGCCCAGAGUCCCUGUCUUCGCAGGCUGUCCCUUGAGAUCGAAGGUGACUUGAUUCCACUCUGGUUUUCACGUUCCCAUGAGGCCAAUUUGGACAGCAGAGUCUUCCAAAGGUCGGGCAGGAGGUCCCUGGCUGGGCAGCUUGUUGCAUUGGAUUCAACUGUGCUCCCAGGGCAUCACUAUUGGUCAGAGGGUGCUCUGCAACAGAAAAGAAGUGUUCCUUCGGCUCAAGGACACUUUUCCCUGAGCAGUUCGCUUCGGUGCUGGAGCAGAUUCCCAAGGGAAUAGGAGGACGACAAAUGAACCAAAAGUAACACAAAAGUUGACCAAAGCCAUGUUUUACAGCUACAUCAGAUCUUUAAGUACAUCUGGUCCUAACUGGUAUCUCUCACUGAAUGGGAUCCCUGUGAAGAUGGGAAAUGCCAGGCUUUCAAGUUGCAAACUGUGGUGGAGUACUGCUGCUGCCUCACAGCACAGUGUUGGAUCAUUUUGAUUAUAUCCAUUGAGCAUUCUGGUACUGCCAUACAAUGUAGGGUGUCUUUGAUGUGAAGAAAGUAUCAUUCCUGCUUUUAUUUUUACCCCAAGGCUCAACAAUGAUCUUUUGUUCAGAACUUUUCUUUCACAUUCCAAAAACCUCUGGUUAUUGAAAAUUAUGCUUCUCAUUUCAUAAUCUACACCAGGUUCUGCACCACAAGUUUUCACUUACCUACACUGGUGCCAGAUCUUUGAAGGGCUUGAAUUUAAAAUGUUCAUUCUUCUGGAUUUUCCCCUCCACAUCUCAGUAACCUGCCCAGUCCUAUAAUGCUUCAAGAAUCUAGCAAUCCUUCAAACUCGCACAUCCCCACACCUUUUAUUUCUCUGUUAGGAUAGUUAAGCCCUAAGCUCUUGAAAUUUAUGCCUAAGUCUCUGCAUCUCUCUCUUCCAUUGAUCGCCUUACCUCUGAUAAAUCCUCAAAUCACCUGCUUCCACUAUCCUUUUUGGCUCAA